rnacentral:rRNA from 1 species
AACGAACGCUGGCGGCAUGCCUAACACAUGCAAGUCGAACGAGACCUUCGGGUCUAGUGGCGCACGGGUGCGUAACGCGUGGGAACCUGCCCUUAGGUUCGGAAUAACUCCCCGAAAGGGGUGCUAAUACCGGAUAAUGUCUUCGGACCAAAGAUUUAUCGCCUUUGGAUGGGCCCGCGUUGGAUUAGCUAGUUGGUAGGGUAAAAGCCUACCAAGGCGACGAUCCAUAGCUGGUCUGAGAGGAUGAUCAGCCACACUGGGACUGAGACACGGCCCAGACUCCUACGGGAGGCAGCAGUGGGGAAUAGUGGACAAUGGGCGAAAGCCUGAUCCAGCAAUGCCGCGUGAGUGAUGAAGGCCUUAGGGUUGUAAAGCUCUUUUACCCGGGAUGAUAAUGACAGGACCGGGAGAAUAAGCUCCGGCUAACUCCG